GUGUCAGCCGCCGCGGUAAUACGAAGGGGGCUAGCGUUGCUCGGAAUUACUGGGCGUAAAGGGAGCGUAGGCGGACAUUUAAGUCAGGGGUGAAAUCCCGGGGCUCAACCUCGGAAUUGCCUUUGAUACUGGGUGUCUUGAGUAUGAGAGAGGUGUGUGGAACUCCGAGUGUAGAGGUGAAAUUCGUAGAUAUUCGGAAGAACACCAGUGGCGAAGGCGACACACUGGCUCAUUACUGACGCUGAGGCUCGAAAGCGUGGGGAGCAAACAGGAUUAGAUACCCUGGUAGUCCACGCCGUAAACGAUGAUUGCUAGUUGUCGGGAUGCAUGCAUUUCGGUGACGCAGCUAAACGCAUUAAGCAAUCCGCCUGGGGAGUACGGUCGCAAGAUU
rnacentral:rRNA from 1 species